GAUAUUUUUCAUAUUUAUCCUUUAUAAUGUAUAUCAUUUUAUACAUUAUAAUGCAAAUCAGUGAUUAAUAUUUCACUAGUCAUAUACGUUUCCGGCACCUAUUCUUGGGACUUAAGAAGCUUCAUCAUGGUUUUCAAUCCACAUUAGAAAGCAACGACGCGUUUCCUGAAGGAUAUCUAGUUCCACGUUCGUCAAAACGUUUUAAAACAUCCAUACUUCUGAUCUUUUUCCGGAUUGCGUGCCUUAUGGCCUUCAGGAAAGUUGCCGCAAAACAGUUUUGGCGCAAUACGCAGAAAUCAGAGCAAAUCAAAGACAUUAUUGUGAACAACAAGGAGCAAUUUUCAUGGAACGGCAGCAAGAAAUAUCGGUGACAUGGGAGACACAGAAACCGCAAAAAUUCACUCGUAGGACCAACCAAGCUAACAAUGGAAAGCAAAGUUAACUUAUUGGGAGCUUAAUACAAGAUUUACAUAUGAUUAAUAGAAAAAUAAAUUUACAACAUGAAAAAAAUAAUUUUCUUUCAUUUUUCUUUACUUUUGUUUACAGCAAUUUAAUAACAAUGGCUAAUUGUAUUCAAUGUGCAGAAUUUUAGAACUUUAAGCAUUGAAUGAAUAAUUUCCAAAAAAUCAUUUGCUGAUAUAAAAUACGUUUAUACUAGGCUAAGCUUAAUACGUUAAAAUGCAUCACAAUGAGUGAAUAGACGGAAUAUGGUUUUAGAAUGGUAUUUAACUUAUCUAGUAUUCUAUUUUCU
rnacentral:lncRNA from 1 species